GACGAACGCUGGCGGCGUGCUUAACACAUGCAAGUCGAACGCUGAAGACCUGGCUUUUGUUGGGUUGGAUGAGUGGCGAACGGGUGAGUAACACGUGAGUAACCUGCCCCCUUCUUUGGGAUAACGCCCGGAAACGGGUGCUAAUACUGGAUAUUCACUGGCCUUCGCAUGGGGGUUGGUGGAAAGGUUUGUUCUGGUGGGGGAUGGGCUCGCGGCCUAUCAGCUUGUUGGUGGGGUGAUGGCCUACCAAGGCUUUGACGGGUAGCCGGCCUGAGAGGGUGACCGGUCACAUUGGGACUGAGAUACGGCCCAGACUCCUACGGGAGGCAGCAGUGGGGAAUAUUGCACAAUGGGCGAAAGCCUGAUGCAGCGACGCCGCGUGAGGGAUGGAGGCCUUCGGGUUGUAAACCUCUUUCGCUCAUGGUCAAGCCGCAACUGUGGGUUGUGGUGAGGGUAGUGGGUAAAGAAGCGCCGGCUAACUACGUGCCAGCAGCCGCGGUAAUACGUAGGGCGCGAGCGUUGUCCGGAAUUAUUGGGCGUAAAGGGCUUGUAGGCGGUUGGUCGCGUCUGCCGUGAAAUCCUCUGGCUUAACUGGGGGCGUGCGGUGGGUACGGGCUGACUUGAGUGCGGUAGGGGAGACUGGAACUCCUGGUGUAGCGGUGGAAUGCGCAGAUAUCAGGAAGAACACCGGUGGCGAAGGCGGGUCUCUGGGCCGUUACUGACGCUGAGGAGCGAAAGCGUGGGAGCGAACAGG
rnacentral:rRNA from 1 species